rnacentral:lncRNA from 1 species
CUGUAUUGUGUAAUCCGAGUUUUGAUUGAAGGAGGGGUUUAGGGUUUUUCUCUUCCAACAAUUUGCAAAAGGAAAAGAGAGUUUGAGGCAGCCGGCGGCAGCUCCUAGACUUCGUCUCCUACCUGACCAAGCUUACACUUGCCGAGUUCCUCUCCUCAUGGACAACAUGGAAGUCCUUGCAAUGGACUUAGCGACUCCGGACGUCUCCGUCUCUU